rnacentral:rRNA from 1 species
AGAGUUUGAUCCUGUCUCAGGACGAACGCGGCGGCUUGCUUAACACAUGCAGAGUCGAACGGAAAAGCCCUUCGGGGUACUCGAGUGGCGAACGGGUGAGUAACACGUGGGUGAUCUGCCCUGCACUUUGGGAUAAGCCUGGGAAACUGGGUCUAAUACCGGAUAGGACCACGCGCUUCAUGGUGUGUGGUGGAAAGCUUUUGCGGUGUGGGAUGGGCCCGCGGCCUAUCAGCUUGUUGGUGGGGUAAUGGCCUACCAAGGCGACGACGGGUAGCCGGCCUGAGAGGGUGACCGGCCACACUGGGACUGAGAUACGGCCCAGACUCCUACGGGAGGCAGCAGUGGGGAAUAUUGCACAAUGGGCGCAAGCCUGAUGCAGCGACGCCGCGUGAGGGAUGACGGCCUUCGGGUUGUAAACCUCUUUCAAUAGGGACGAAGCGCAAGUGACGGUACCUAUAGAAGAAGGACCGGCCAACUACGUGCCAGCAGCCGCGGUAAUACGUAGGGUCCGAGCGUUGUCCGGAAUUACUGGGCGUAAAGAGCUCGUAGGUGGUUUGUCGCGUUGUUCGUGAAAACUCACAGCUUAACUGUGGGCGUGCGGGCGAUACGGGCAGACUAGAGUACUGCAGGGGAGACUGGAAUUCCUGGUGUAGCGGUGGAAUGCGCAGAUAUCAGGAGGAACACCGGUGGCGAAGGCGGGUCUCUGGGCAGUAACUGACGCUGAGGAGCGAAAGCGUGGGGAGCGAACAGGAUUAGAUACCCUGGUAGUCCACGCCGUAAACGGUGGGUACUAGGUGUGGGUUUCCUUCCUUGGGAUCCGUGCCGUAGCUAACGCAUUAAGUACCCCGCCUGGGGAGUACGGCCGCAAGGCUAAAACUCAAAGGAAUUGA